rnacentral:SRP_RNA from 1 species
UGCAGGAACAACGUGCACUUCUCGGCCUCCGGGGACGCCGUCUACCCCGCCGCAGCGGUG